rnacentral:rRNA from 1 species
AACGAACGCUGGCGGCAGGCCUAACACAUGCAAGUCGAGCGCCCCGCAAGGGGAGCGGCGGACGGGUGAGUAACGCGUGGGAACGUACCCUUUGCUACGGAAAUAGCCUCGGGAAACUGGGAGUAAUACCGUAUGUGCCCUUCGGGGGAAAGAUUUAUCGGCAAAGGAUCGGCCCGCGUUGGAUUAGGUAGUUGGUGGGGUAAUGGCCUACCAAGCCGACGAUCCAUAGCUGGUUUGAGAGGAUGAUCAGCCACACUGGGACUGAGACACGGCCCAGACUCCUACGGGAGGCAGCAGUGGGGAAUCUUAGACAAUGGGCGCAAGCCUGAUCUAGCCAUGCCGCGUGAGCGAUGAAGGCCUUAGGGUUGUAAAAGCUCUUUUCAGUGGGGAAGAUAAUGACUGUACCCACAGAAGAAAGCCCCGGCUAAACUCCGUGCCAGCAGCCGCCGGUAAAAAGUCAACGUCG